UGCUGCGACUCUUGCUGUAUGUUUUUUAAUUGUAAAGCUAGAAACCUGUCUAUUAUAUGAAUUCAAUGUGAUUGAUUUCUUCUUCACACUUGACUGUGUGACUUGAAUGACGACCGAUGUCAUUAACCCUCUGGUGAUUGUAUCAAUGAUUAGGCAAAGAAUGCAUUGAUGAAUCAAUCCAGCCAAAUCAGGUCUUGGCUGAGCUCGUUGAUAGUUCCCAUGUUUCUUUCCACUAUAAAACGAUGAACAUUCCCCACGUGCAGUUAGUCUAUUUUCUUCUUCUUCUUGUGAUUGAUUGAUUCGUCAACCUGAUUCAUCUUCAGUGCUCGUGCCUUACUUUGGACCCGCCACUAGGGGCGACAAAAUUAACGUUCGUUUUCCUCGCUAACUUUUACAAGCAAGUUAUUGGAUUGUGAAAGUAACGUGAGAGACAGAAUGGCAGAGAAUUGUGAGAGAAUGUCAGAAUGGCAUAGAAGUAGUUCCCAAAUAAAUACCUUGGACAAUGAGAAACUUGUACGACCUAAAGAGAAACUGCGUGUGUUAUUGCAGCAGGCAGGUGCAGACAAAGACGUUUUCACCAUGAAAGAGGUGAUAUUCUACCUGGCCAGUACAUCAUGAAGAAACAGCUUUAUGACAUGAAGCAGCAACACAUAGUGCACUGUGCUGAGACCCCCUGGGGGCUGUACUGGGAGUGGACAGCUUCUCUGUAAAGAACCACGGUGAGGACACACACUGCACGGUGUGGACAUCUUCUCCAUCAAAGAGCCCACGCACUCACACAAUAACACACACAGCUUGGGACGGACAAUAAACCCCAAACACACCACACUCACACAAUAACACACACAGUUGGACGGACAAUAAACCCCCCAACACACACGCACUCACACCAAUAACACACACAGCUUGGGAUGGACAAUAAACCCCCCAACACUCACACAAUAACACACACAGCUUGGGAUGGACAAUAACCCCCCACACUCACACAAUAACCACCACAGCUUGGGAUGGACAAUAAACCCCCCAACACUCACACAAUAAAACACACAGCUUGGGAUGGACAAUAAACCCCCCAACACUCACACAAUAACACACACAGCUUGGGACGGACAAUAAACCCCAACACACCACACUCACACAAUAACACACACAGCUUGGACGGACAAUAAAUCCCCCAACACUCACACAAUAACACACCAGCUUGGGACGGACAAUAAACCCCCAACACACACACACUCCACACAAUAACACACAGCUUGGGACGGACAAUAAACCCCCCAACACUCACACAAUAACACACACAGCUUGGGACGGACAAUAACCCCCAACACACACCCACCUCACACAAUAACACACACCCUUGGGACGGGACAAUAAAUCCCCCAACACUCCACAAUAACACACACAGCUUGGACGGACAAUAAACCCCCAACACACACACACUCACACAAUAACACACACAGCUUGGGACGGACAAUAAAUCCCCCAACACUCACACAAUAAACACACACAGCUUGGAUGGACAUAAACCCCCCAACACACCACACCUGUUUGCUCGGCUAGCGUUGCUCUAAUAUAACAUCUCGGGGCCUCUAAUGCAGUCCUUCUACACAGCCUCUAAUGCAGUCCUUCUACACAGCCUCUAAUGCAGUCCUUCUACACAGCCUCUAAUGCAAGCUCUCUUGCUCUUUCUCUAAUACAGACUCUGGCCUCUAAUACAAGCUCCUCUGGCCUCUAAUACAGAAUCUGGCCUCUAAUACAGCCUCCUUUGUCCUCUCAUACAGAUUCUUUUCUCUAAUACGACGCUGGUCUCUAUACAGUUUGUCUGGUCCUCGAAUACAGACUUGUUCUCUAAUACAGACUCUGGCCUCGAUACAGACUCUGUCUCUAAUACAGACUCUGGUCUCUAAUACAGCUCCUCUAAUACAGACUCUGUUCUCUAAUACGCUCCUACUACGGACUCUGUCUCUAAUACAGACUCUGGCCUCUAAUACAGCUCCUCUAAUACAGACUCUGGCCUCUAAUACAGACUCUGUUCUCUAAUACAGCUCCUCUACACAGACUCUGGUCUCUAAUACAGCUCCUUCUAAUACAGACUCUGUUCUCUAAUACAGCUCCUCUAACACAGACUCUGGCCUCUAAUACAGACUCUGUUCUCUAAUACACCGCUCCUCUAUACUACGACUUUGUUCUCUAAUACAGCUCCUCUAUAACAGACUCUGUUCUCUAAUACAGCUCCUCUAACACAGACUCUGGCCUCUAAUACAGACUGUUCUCUAAUACAGACUCUGUUCUCUAAUACAAGCUCCUCUAAACGACUCUGUUCUCUAAUACAGCUCCUCUACUAUAUAGACUCUGGCCUCAAUGCAGCUCCUCUAUACAGACUCUGUUCUCUAAUACAGCUCCUCUAAUAAAGACUCUGUUCUCUAAUACAGCUCCUCUAAUACAGACUCUGUUCUCUAAUACGCUCCUCUAUAAGACUCUGG
rnacentral:lncRNA from 1 species